rnacentral:lncRNA from 1 species
AAUUAACCUAAGGGACCAAAAGUAUAAUUUAGCCUAAGUUUUAUUUUAAAAAAACAACCAUAUUCUUAGAAGUGGGGAAUACAUGGUUCGAACUCCGACCCCUCCAAUAAUAAGUAAAUAGUCAUUUAUAUAAGUAAACAUAAAGGUUAAAUUGUUCUUUAUAUGUACUUCUUGAGUACUUCUAGUUUAUUUGUACAUUCAAUCAUGAUAUAUAAUUAAACAUUGCAGACAACGAAGCCUAGA